AUCAACUUUCGAUUGGUAGGAUAGAGGCCUACCAUGGUGGUAACGGGUAACGGGGUGUUAGGGCACGACACCGGAGAGGGAGCCUGAGAAACGGCUACCACAUCCAAGGAUGGCAGCAGGCGCGCAAAUUACCCAAUCCCGACACGGGGAGGUAGUGACAAUAAAUAACAAUACGGGGUUCUUUCGGAUUUCGUAAUUGGAAUGAGUACAAUUUAAAUCUCUUAACGAGGAACAAUUGGAGGGCAAGUCUGGUGCCAGCAGCCGCGGUAAUUCCAGCUCCAAUAGCGUAUAUUAAAGUUGCUGCAGUUAAAAAGCUCGUAGUUGAAUUUCGGGACCAAUAUGUCGGUCGUGCCUCGGUACGUACUGGCAUCGUUGGUUUCUCCCUUCUGACGAACCAUGAUGUCAUUCAUUUGGUGUCGUGGGGAAUCAGGACUGUUACUUUGAAAAAAUUAGAGUGUUUAAAGCAGGCUCACGCUUGAAUACAUUAGCAUGGAAUAAUGAAAUAGGACGUUUGAUUCUAUUUUGUUGGUUUCUAGGAUCGACGUAAUGAUUAAUAGGGAUAGUUGGGGGCAUUAGUAUUCAAUUGUCAGAGGUGAAAUUCUUGGAUUUAUUGAAGACUAACUACUGCGAAAGCAUUUGCCAAGGAUGUUUUCAUUAAUCAAGAACGAAAGUUAGGGGAUCGAAGACGAUCAGAUACCGUCGUAGUCUUAACCAUAAACUAUGCCGACUAGGGAUCGGAUGAUGUUAAUUUUUUAAUGACUCAUUCGGCGCCUUACGGGAAACCAAAGUGUUUGGGUUC
rnacentral:rRNA from 1 species